AAAAGAUGUCAUGAAGAAUUUCUUUGAGAGAAUUUGCGUGAGGUGUGUCUAAAUGAUUUUUAUCUUCUGAACAUAUUCUUGUAUGACUAACUGAAUUCAUUUUCUCAAAACGUUGGUACUUUUCCUUUUUCAUUUAUGUUGCUCGACUGAGUCUCUCUCAGAUCAUGUACACUCCACAUGCUAGCUGAUCUGUAGCAGUGCGGAAGGUGAGCUUGGCUGCCGGCAGCAGCUCCUUUGGCUGAUCUGCGGCGAUGCAGAAGUUGGGUUGGAAAAAAGCACGACCGGCUGCUCUGAAGUGGGUCGUAGGGAGAGCUUCGUAAGAGAUAGGGAGGGAGCUCUAUUGGCCCGUGCAUGACAUCCAACCCAAUGGCAUCAUGCCCUGGUAGGCAUGGUUGCAUGGCCACGGGGAGAAUGGAGCAAGUAGCGUGUGAGGAGUUUAAGAAAUGGGGACAAGGGACAGUUUAGUUAAUUAAGUCUAUGUUAGUUUCAAGUUUUAUCCUUGUUGCGGUAAAAAAUUAAGGUUGGAUUAACCACCAUGUACAUCUUUAAUUACUUUUAAAUAAGAAAUAUAAUCAAAAUAUUCUUUUGAAAUCAUAAAAUUUAUAUAAUUUGUACAA